UCUUCUUCUUCCUGCGCGUAGCACGCAGCUGCUGCCGAACGGGACCCAGCCGGGAGCCACCUCCACCUUCAUCUCCCUCUCUCGUGUCGAU